CUCGCUGCAGUGAGCGAUAAACAUGCAGCACGCUUGCCUUCAUGGAGAUGAGCCACACAAAACAAGAACGUACGCACUUGACAAGAUGACAGCAACAAGUGCUUGGCGAGCUGAGCCGUGGAGCGCAGGGAGUUGCAGCAGUUAGCUCUGAACAUUUUCCGCGUUCGCUUUAAAUCUCUUCGCUCGGCUCGGAAGCACUCGCCAUGUCGAAGCCGGUUCUACUGUCCGGCUAUCUCAGUUCCUGUGCCUGGCGCGUGAGCAUUGUUCUGGAGGUGAAGAAGAUCGACUUCGAAUAUAGGGCGGU
rnacentral:lncRNA from 1 species